rnacentral:rRNA from 1 species
CGGACGGGUGAGUAACACGUGGGAACGUGCCUUUAGGUUCGGAAUAGCUCCUGGAAACGGGUGGUAAUGCCGAAUGUGCCCUUCGGGGGAAAGAUUUAUCGCCUUUAGAGCGGCCCGCGUCUGAUUAGCUAGUUGGUGAGGUAACGGCUCACCAAGGCGACGAUCAGUAGCUGGUCUGAGAGGAUGACCAGCCACACUGGGACUGAGACACGGCCCAGACUCCUACGGGAGGCAGCAGUGGGGAAUCUUGCGCAAUGGGCGAAAGCCUGACGCAGCCAUGCCGCGUGAAUGAUGAAGGUCUUAGGAUUGUAAAAUUCUUUCACCGGGGACGAUAAUGACGGUACCCGGAGAAGAAGCCCCGGCUAACUUCGUGCCAGCGGCCGCGGUAAUACGGAGGGUGCAAGCGUUAAUCGGAAUUACUGGGCGUAAAGCGCGCGUAGGCGGUUUAGUAAGUCGGAUGUGAAAGCCCUGGGCUCAACCUGGGAAUUGCAUUCCAUACUGCUUGACUAGAGUAUGGUAGAGGGAAGUGGAAUUUCCGGUGUAGCGGUGAAAUGCGUAGAUAUCGGAAGGAACACCAGUGGCGAAGGCGACUUCCUGGGCCAAUACUGACGCUG